rnacentral:lncRNA from 1 species
UUUUGUAGAAUCUGCAAGUGGAUAUUUGGAACCCUUUGAGGCCUAUGCUGAAAAAAGAAAUAUCUUCACUACAUGAUGACCACCAGCAGCAGCUGGGGAAACCAGCACCCUGUGGAAUUCCAUACGGUGCAUAGAAUACAUCCUCCCUUCAGUUGGCUUGGGUCAACUUAGGUCAUGGGCCACCUGGCUGAUAGCAGUUUCCACAGAAAUGCUUCAAGAUGAGUGGGAACAAGCCCAGAAAAAUCAAGAUGAUUAAGCAGAGAGCUUCCAUACUGGAGAUAAACCAGCUGUGUAAAAAAUCAUUGCACCAAAAAAGCGUUGCACCAUCGAAAUAACUGCUUUAACUAAGAAGUAAAGGAACUGAUGCCCCAGCAGAGCACAGAGAGCCACAGAGACAGGAGCUGCAUUUCAAACAAGGCCUGGAAUCUCAAGACCAUGAUGACCUCUCAUCACUCCUGAAUCCAGAGCUUUCCCUUUACAAAGGGGAAACUGAGACCUGGAGCAGGGCUGAUGUUCAGCCAGCGCACAAGGGAAUGGCUGAAUUGGUGGUAAAAUAUUGAAAUAGUUCCAGUGUGGAUGGAAAGGGGCCACUGCCCUGAGCAUCUCUACUGCCCACCUCAUCCCUUCCUCCAGGACCCUGGGUCAGCACCAGGAGUGUCAAAGUGGCCAGGAUUGGCCGGAGCCCAUGCUAAUGGCUCUGCCAGCCCUUCUCCCCACCAGAGAGGGCAGGGGGAUUCAGGCCCUCUAGAGGUAGCAUUGUGACCGUGUCUGCAGUAGUCAAUCCUUGUGUGCCACAGUCCCUGACUUUGUUGAUAAGGGCAUCAGCCUACAUCCCUCUGGUACUCAGUGAUAAGCAUCUAAAAUCUUCUUAAAGAAAAAAUUUAAAAAGCUUUCAAAAUAUACGACUUAACAUAUGAGGCUGCAUAAAUAUCUUUUUAGCAGUUGUCCAACUGGUGCUUCUGGUUCUGCCUCCCCAGAAAGUGGAUGACCGGGCCACCCUCCACCACUGCCCUGUAAGACCAUGGGACACACAGGCCACCAGUUCUUUUCAUGUGGUCAUCCCCUGUUAGAUGGGAGAAAAUACACCUGCCUCAUUUUUGUACCUUCUGUGUGAACAUUCCACGGCAGAGCUUCACUAAAUGUGUGAUGAAGAAUUGAAUGAAUGAAUGAAUAUGAGAGAAAAUGAAUAAAUGGUUCAGAUCCUGGGCUGGAAGGCUGUGUAUGAGGAUGGUGGGUAGAGGAGGGUCUGUUUUUCUUGCCUUUAAGUCACUAAUUGUCACUUUGGGGCAGGAGCACAGGCUUUGAAUGCAGACUGACUGGACUUUAAUUCUGGCUUUACUAGUUGUGAUUGUGUGACCUUGUGCAAGUUACUUAAACCCUCUGUGCCUGUUUCUUUAUCUGUAAAAUGGAUAUAAUAAGAUGUCAAAGGACUGUGGUAAGAAUUAAAUGCUUUAAAAAAAUCGCAGUUUGUAUUAAGUCCUCAAUAGAUUGGGUUUAGCAUCAUGAGUGCAUGUGUUUCUGGAGCAAUGCUCAUCUUGGGCUGGAUGGUGCCUACACAGAGAAAGACUCUGGCCUCUUCUCAUCCACAUGUAUCUGUCUUAUGCCUGGUUCCCAUUCCCAGAUCCUUGGAAGAUCCAUAUUGCUGAAACGGUGAAGGGUGAUGGGCACCUCAGGACAACUAAGCUGCUCCCCAAACAUCUUCCCCCUCCCAAACUCUCCUGUGGUCUUUAGCAUU